rnacentral:rRNA from 1 species
UACACACCGCCCGUCACAUCAUGAAAGCCGUUUGUACCCGAAGUCGCUCCUAAUCAAUAAAGAGCGCCGAAGGUAUGGAUGGUGAUUGGGAUG